rnacentral:rRNA from 1 species
GGAGGAAAAGAAACUAACAAGGAUUCCCCUAGUAACGGCGAGUGAAGAGGGAAAAGCUCAAAUUUAAAAGCUGUUGUCUUUCAGGCAACCGCAUUGUAAUCUCAAGAAGUGUUUUCGAUUGUAGCCUGCGUAUAAGUACCUUGGAAUAGGUUGGCAUAGAGGGUGAAACUCCCGUCUUUGAUGCAGAUUACUAUGAUCAUGUGAUACACUUUCUAAGAGUCGAGUUGUUUGGGAAUGCAGCUCAAAAUGGGUGGUAAAUUCCAUCUAAAGCUAAAUAUUGGCCUGAGACCGAUAGCGAACAAGUACCGUGAGGGAAAGAUGAAAAGCACUUUGGAAAGAGAGUCAAACAGAACGUGAAAUUGCUGAAAGGGAAGCGUUUGAAGUUAGUCUGAUAGGAGUUGUUCAAUUGUUACUUUGGUUUCAAUGUAUGCAACUUUUUAUCGGUCAACAUCAAUUUUGAUUGAUGGAUAAAGGUAAUAGGAAUGUGGCUACAAUUUGUAGUGUUAUAGCCUAUUAUCAUAAACAUUGAUUGAGAUUGAGGACGGCAGUGUACCUUUUAGGAAGGUGUUCGCACCUAUUACACUAAGGAUGUUGACAAAAUAGCUUUAAGCGACCCGUCUUGAAACACGGACC